AUGGAUCCCACAGCCUUGGUGGAAGCCAUUGUGGAAGAAGUGGCCUGUCCCAUCUGUAUGGCCUUCCUGAGAGAGCCCGUGAGCAUUGACUGUGGCCACAGCGUCUGCCACAGCUCCCUCUCCGGACUGUGGGAGAUCCCAGGAGAAUCCCAGAACUGGGGUUACACCUGUCCCCUCUGUCGAGCUCCUGUCCAGCCAAGGAACCUACGGCCUAAUUGGCAGUUGGCCAAUGUUGUAGAAAAAGUCUGUCUGCUAAGGCUAUAUCCAGGAAUGGGGCUGAAGGGUGAUCUGUGUGAGCACCAUGGGGAGAAACUGAAGAUGUUCUGCAAAGAGGAUGUCCUGAUAAUGUGUGAAGCCUGCAGCCGGUCCCCACAGCAUGAAGGCCACAGUGUUGUGCCAAUGGAGGAUGUUGCCUGGGAGGACAAGUGGGAACUUCAUGAGGCCCUCGAACAUCUGAAGAAAGAGCAAGAAGAGGCCUGGAAGCUGGAAGUUGGUGAAAGGAAACGAACUGCCACCUGGAAGAUACAGGUGGAAACCCGAAAACAGAGUAUUUUAUGGGAGUUUGAGAAAUACCAGUGAUUACUAGAGAAAAAGCAGCCACCACAUCGGCAGCUGGAGGCAGAGGUAGCAGCAGCUCUGGCCAGCCUACAAUGGGAGGCGGCGGAGACCAUGCAGAAACUGGAGUUGAACCAUAGUGAGCUCAUCCAGCAGAGCCGGGUCCUGGGGAGGAUGAUUGCAGAGUUGAAAGAGCGGUCGCAGAGGCCUGUCGGCUGAAUGUUGCAGGAUAUUCAGGAAGUGUUAAACAGGAGCAAAUCUUGGAGCUUGCAGCGGCCAGAACCAAUCUCCCUGGAGUUGAAGACAGAUUGCCGUGCGCUGGGGCUAAGAGAGAUCCUGAAGACCUAUGCAGUUGACGUGCGCCUGGAUCCAGAUACUGCUUACUCCCGUCUCAUCGUGUCUGAGGACAGAAAACGUGUGCACUAUGGAGACACCAACGAGAAACUGCCAGACAAUCCUGAGAGAUUUUACCGCUAUAAUAUUGUCUUGGGAAGCCAGUGCAUCUCCUCAGGGCGGCACUACUGGGAGGUGGAGGUGGGAGACAGGUCUGAAUGGGGCCUGGGAGUAUGUAAGCGAAAUGUAGACUGGAAGGAGGUGGUCUACUUGUCCCUCCGCUAUGGAUUUUGGGUGAUAAAGCUGAGGAAGGGAAAUGAGUACCGAGCAGGCACCGAUGAGUACCCCCUCCUAUCCUUGCCAGUCCCUCCUCGCCGGGUGGGAAUUUUCAUGGAUUAUGAGGCCCAUGACAUUUCCUUCUACAAUGUGACUGACUAUGGCUCCCACAUCUUCGCUUUCCCCCGCUAUCCCUUCCCUGGGCGCCUCCUACCCUAUUUUAGUCCUUGCUACAGCAUUGGACCCAACAACACUGCUCCUCUGGCCAUCUGCUCCCUGGAUGGGGAAGACUAAGAGGGCUACCGUCCUAACCAGAGAGGCCUUGGAAUUGGGCCUGGCCCCCAUGGGGCUUGGAGGACCCAGCCACUGACAGGUAUCUCCUGAAACUGACCUGAGCUCAGAAUCCAAGGAUUCCUCUGUCUGAUCCUUUGGUCAUUGCUACCAGGCUGAAGUCUGUCAUGAAACCACUUAUUUUAAAAAGCAGAGGCCCAGUCAAAUGAGCACUGCACCCCAUGAGGGAAGUGUGACAGGGCUGAUGGUGAGGAUCAGACCAGUUCUAAGGUGACUUGUUGGGGUAAGGAUCAGGACUUUGUCCGUGGAGUAGCCAACCCCCCUCUUCCCUUAUUCCUGUCCGGUGUCACAGUUAAGUCAGUGAGGAUGAUGAAGUAGACACAAUCUUCAGGACACCAUCAGAUAGGCUUUCCCAAUAGGCCAAAAAAAUGCUGCCCAUACCCAGAGCUGGUUGUUGUGCUGCGGCCAGUCAGAGGAUGCUUCCCCUGAGGUUUGCUACAACUAAGCAACCUUUAUGUGACCCGCACACUCUGACCACCUGGCAAGAGAAAUUCAGUGCAGCAGGGGGACACAGACCCACCCAAGCCACCCCACUGCCGAUCCCUCUCUGAGCACAAGCUGGGCAAAUCACUGUCCCUUGGACUCCCAGGAAACCAGUGUCCUAGUCCUGCUUUUUUUCUCUAAGUGGCAGGAUCAGAAAACCUGUUAGCCUUAGUUUGUAUUUUCACUUUAUGAAUGAGGAAACUGAAAUGGCCUUGAUGGAGCAAGUUAUUUCUUUUUUCUUUUCUUUUCUUUUUUUUUUUUUUUUUGAGAUGGAGUCUCGCUCUGUCACCCAGGCUGGAGUGCAGUGGCACAAUCUCGGCUCACUGGCAGCUCCGCCUCCUGGGUUCACGCCAUUCUCCUUCCUCAGCCUCCUGAGUAGCUGGGACUACAGGCACCUGCCACCACGCCCGGUUCAUUUUUUUGUAUUUUUAGUAGAGACGGGGUUUCACCAUGUUAGCCAGGAUGGUCUCGAUCUCCUGACCUCGUGUGCCACCAU